CAAAUGCAGGCAGCAGUGCACCUCUGCCUGCAUUUGUCAGUUAAAGUUAAACACAGACAUGGCUAAUAUGUGAACAAGCAUUCACAUACAUACAAUGUGAGAAUGGAGAAACAAGGAGAUUACAGCCUGUACUAUGGUGCCAAAUGGAGCCUGAGAGAAAUGAGAACAUAAAACACAUGCACACAGGAAGGAGAGGGGUGGUGGUUUAAAGGACUCCUUCAAAAACUACUUGUUGAGGCAAAGUGCAGCUAGUUGAAGAGCUGAAGAAGGAAUACCUGAGGCUUUUGCUGCUGACGGAGAGCAGCAAAGAGUUGCUCGACGAUUUACAGACAGAUUUGGAGUGUUGUGGACUUCAGGGCUACCAGGACUGGAAAUCCAACAUCCCAAAAUCCUGCCUUUGCGCCAAAGAGUCCACUAAUUCGUGUGUGGAAACUCUUGGAGGCAGCUGGGAGGAAAAUCAGACUGUUAUGAUUUAUGAACAGGUAUUAAAGACAUUCUCAUCAUUUUUCCAGGAACUUGUGUAAACUCUAUAAGCUGUUAUGGCAAAAGCAGGCAACUACACCACCCUCACAGAGCCUCCAGACGACUUCCGAUGUCUUUGCUAGUUCUGAUGCUUCCAGCAGUGAUGGCCAUUAUUUAAACAUGCUAAAUAAUAAAUAUAUUUAUGACAAUUGCUUAUAUUGAAUAUAUCCU
ensembl:lncRNA